GAAUUCUAUUUAUAGAGAUCUUCUCAUCAAAACAACAUUGAGGCUAGCACGUAACCUGAGUAACCAUUACAUAAGGAAUGUAUUGUGUCUAAUGCAAUAAAAGCCUUGAUUAUACAAACACCCGAUUAUUUGGAAAAAAAACAACCAACUGUAAAAGAAUGCAACAGAAGCAAUAAAAUGGCUUUGGCAGCCUCCCCUUACGCCUCUACAGAGGAGACGACAAAUGCCUGUAGAGCCUGUCGACUUCUCCUGGGCCCGUGUACAGAUCAACUGAGGGAUAUUUUACUUCACCAUGCACCGUCAACAUUCCCAAACGUCAUUAAACAAAAGAUAAGUAAUCUUCCCCGUCUGACAGCACCACAACUAAAUUUGAUAUUACCUAGAGGCAGUACUUAUUCCGGGAACUACAAUGAUGUGGAUAUUCCAUUAUUGUACAUACUACUUAGAAACAUUUGCAGUAUACCACCACACAGCAACGGCUGGGGAAAUGAUCCAGAUUCUACCGACUGAUCUCUCUCUGCCAACAUUGAGAGAAUCCGUAUUGUCAGAAAUCAGUGUGUUCAUUCUUCUAGUCCCGUCCUCUGCAAUGCUGAAUUCAACACAAUCUGGUCCACUGUAAGAUCAGCAGUUGUCGACCUUGAUUCUUUAGUUAAUAACGGGAAUCAGUACAAAAGAGAGGUGGAUUUUUUGAGACAUGAGACAAUGGACCCUGUCCGUGACCUUCAUUACAUAGAAGAACUGAGGAAACAGGCCGAAGAAGAUGCCGAAACUAGACAAAUUGUUUAUGGUCUUGAAGAUAAGAUAGAAGAAAUGAAAAUAGAUCAAGCUGAGAAUCGACAUAAUAUGCUGAAGAUU